rnacentral:rRNA from 1 species
GACGCGGCGGUGCUACCUCGCAGUCGAACGGAGCGCGGGGCACCGGCGGCGAGUGGCGAACGGUGAGUAAUACUCGGAACGUACCCAGAAGUGGGGGAUAACGUAGCGAAAGUUACGCUAAUACCGCUACUUCUACGGAAGAAAGUGGGGGAUCUUCGGACCUCAUGCUUUUGGAGCGGCCGUGUCUGAUUAGCUAGUUGGGGGAGGUAAAGGCUCACCAAGGCGACGAUCAGUAGCUUGGUCUGAGAGGACGGCCAGCCACACUUGGGACUGGAGACACGGCCCAGACUCCUACGGGAGGCAGCAGUGGGGAAUUUUGGACAUGGGCGCAGCCUGAUCCAGCAUGCCGCGUGAUGAAGAAGCCUUCGGGUUGUAAAGCUNUUUUGUCAGGGAAGAACGGGGCUGGUAAUACCUGGUCCUAAUGACGUACCUGAAGAUAAGCACCGGCUAACUAC